rnacentral:rRNA from 1 species
UAGCAUAUCAAUAAGCGGAGGAAAAGAAACCAACAGGGAUUGCCCUAGUAACGGCGAGUGAAGCGGCAACAGCUCAAAUUUGAAAUCUGGCCCUCGGGUCCGAGUUGUAAUUUGUAGAGGAUGCUUUUGGUGAGGUGCCUUCCGAGUUCCCUGGAACGGGACGCCAUAGAGGGUGAGAGCCCCGUCUGGUUGGACACCGAGCCUCUGUAAAGCUCCUUCGACGAGUCGAGUAGUUUGGGAAUGCUGCUCUAAAUGGGAGGUAUAUGUCUUCUAAAGCUAAAUACCGGCCAGAGACCGAUAGCGCACAAGUAGAGUGAUCGAAAGAUGAAAAGCACUUUGAAAAGAGAGUUAAAAAGUACGUGAAAUUGUUGAAAGGGAAGCGCUUAUGACCAGACUUGGGCUUGGUUGAUCAUCCUGGGUUCUCCCUGGUGCACUCUUCCAGUUCAGGCCAGCAUCAGUUCGCUGCGGGGGAUAAAAGUUUUGGGAAUGUGGCUCCUUCGGGAGUGUUAUAGCCCAUUUCAUAAUACCCUGCUCCGGACUGAGGUUCGCGCAUCUGCAAGGAUGCUGGCGUAAUGGUCAUCAGCGACCCGUCUUGAAACACGGACCAAGGAGUCGUCUUCGUAUGCGAGUGUUCGGGUGUUAAACCCCUACGCGUAAUGAAAGUGAACGCAGGUGAGAGCUUCGGCGCAUCAUCGACCGAUCCUGAUGUUCUCGGAUGGAUUUGAGUAAGAGCAUACGGGGCCGGACCCGAAAGAAGGUGAACUAUGCCUGUAUAGGGUGAAGCCAGAGGAAACUCUGGUGGAGGCUCGCAGCGGUUCUGACGUGCAAAUCGAUCGUCAAAUAUGGGCAUGGGGGCGAAAGACUAAUCGAACCUUCUAGUAGCUGGUUUCCGCG